rnacentral:ncRNA from 1 species
ACUCUAGUUCGACUUUGUGAUGAUGGAUGUAGAAUAGGUGGGAGCUGGGUGCUUCAGUGCCUGGCGUCAGUGAAAUACCAUUGCUGUCACUGUUUCUUUACUUAUUCGGUGAAACCGGAGAGAAAUGAAGCACAUGCUGGCAUACUUGGUCUAACGCUUCGUGCGUCAGUGUCAUGGUCAUGUCAGAUAAAUCGUGGUGCAGAUUUCGGUAUUUGAGUCUUGAUGUUAUGUGCAACCCGUUCGGAAUACCAUGUCAAGUGGUGAGAUUUACUAGGUUGGUACGUCUGUCAGAUGGUAACACAGGUGUCCUAAGGUUAAACUAAUAAUGAUAACAUAAAUAAGGAAAAAUUUAAAGCACCUACAGUAGCUUUACCAUAUAAGGAGAGAGGGGACA